UACGAAGGGUGCAAGCGUUACUCGGAAUUACUGGGCGUAAAGGGUGCGUAGGUGGUUUGUUAAGUCUGCUGUGAAAGCCCCCGGGCUCAACCUGGGAACCGCGCUUGAGACUGGAGAACUAGAGUUCGGGAGAGGAUGGUGGAAUUCCCAGUGUAGAGGUGAAAAUUCGUAGAUAUUGGGAAGAACACCGAUGGCGAAGGGCAGCCAUCUGGACCGACACUGACGCUGAGGCGCGAAAGCGUGGGGAGCAAACAGG
rnacentral:rRNA from 1 species